AUGAGCGGGAGAGCAGUGUAAGGCCCGAUUCAAACAAAGUGAAUGUUCUGACAUACCAUUUUGGGCAAGAACAGGUAACUGUGAGCAAUUCUUAGGUCCCUAAUUUUGUUUCAUUAUAUUUUUCCAUCAGGAUAUCGAAUCCACUACAUCACUGUAGACUUCCCAUUUUUGUGGACAAUAAAAAGAACGAUAUAAAUGAAAAAUAUCCAACACGUGGUUGAUUAUAUGGACGCCGUACACCUGACGUUCUCCUGAGUGACAGUUCUACACACCUCGUGGAUCUAGAGCACAAGAGGACAUCUGAAACGUUUUUAUUGAGGAAGAACUUUCCACCAAGCAUCACAAUCCACAGUAAGCACUGAAAACAUUUCCACCAAAGGUGAGGCUGAGUAAUCACACGUUGAGUUGCCUGACCCAGAGAAAUCCUGAGAUAUCUGCAGAGAGGCCGGCCUACUCCUACACAGCCACCGUGGCAUUCUUUACAUUCUUUACAUCAGCGAAAAAUGGCAAAGGUCCCCGUGUGUCCCCAUUAAGAAAAUGAUCCAAUGAGGCUCUAAAUGAGCAAGCUGUGUCUGAUUGUGUUGAUUAACAUGAAAACAGUGUCUAGACGUGCUAUGUAAAUUUUUCUAAUUUGCAUAAUAAAAUGUUACGACAAACUUCA